AUGGCUCAAUCUCUAACUGAUUUCGGAUUCCUCUUCAUCUUCCAUAAUCCUCUUUAUCAUUUUCCACCAACAACGGCAACCACUUCAUAUCUUUAUCACAUCUGUGAUCUUCCACCGCACAUCACCUUCACUAUCUUCAACCUUCAUCCACAACCACCUUCAACGGUUUUUCUCCACCAUCAUUCUUCACAAUAA